rnacentral:rRNA from 1 species
UACGAAGGGGGCUAGCGUUGUUCGGAUUUACUGGGCGUAAAGCGCACGUAGGCGGAUCUUUAAGUCAGAGGUGAAAUCCCAAGGCUCAACCCUGGAACUGCCUUUGAUACUGGGGAUCUUGAGUCCGGGAGAGGUGAGUGGAACUGCGAGUGUAGAGGUGAAAUUCGUAGAUAUUCGCAAGAACACCAGUGGCGAAGGCGGCUCACUGGCCCGGUACUGACGCUGAGGCACGAAAGCGUGGGGAGCAAACAGG